UACUCGAGCGGCGAACGGGUGAGUAACACGUGAGCAACCUGCCCUAGGCUUUGGGAUAACCCCGGGAAACCGGGGCUAAUACCGAAUAUGACCACGUGCCGCAUGGUGUGUGGUGGAAAGUUUUUCGGCCUGGGAUGGGCUCGCGGCCUAUCAGCUUGUUGGUGGGGUGAUGGCCUACCAAGGCGACGACGGGUAGCCGGCCUGAGAGGGCGACCGGCCACACUGGGACUGAGACACGGCCCAGACUCCUACGGGAGGCAGCAGUGGGGAAUAUUGCACAAUGGGCGGAAGCCUGAUGCAGCGACGCCGCGUGAGGGAUGACGGCCUUCGGGUUGUAAACCUCUUUCAGCAGGGACGAAGCGGAAGUGACGGUACCUGCAGAAGAAGCGCCGGCCAACUACGUGCCAGCAGCCGCGGUAAGACGUAGGGCGCGAGCGUUGUCCGGAUUUAUUGGGCGUAAAGAGCUCGUAGGCGGCUUGUCGCGUCGACUGUGAAAACCCGCAGCUCAACUGCGGGCCUGCAGUCGAUACGGGCAGGCUAGAGUUCGGUAGGGGAGACUGGAAUUCCUGGUGUAGCGGUGAAAUGCGCAGAUAUCAGGAGGAACACCGGUGGCGAAGGCGGGUCUCUGGGCCGAUACUGACGCUGAGGAGCGAAAGCGUGGGGAGCGAACAGGAUUAGAUACCCUGGUAGUCCACGCUGUAAACGUUGGGCGCUAGGUGUGGGGGGCCUCUCCGGUUCCCUGUGCCGCAGC
rnacentral:rRNA from 1 species